CUCGGAUGAGAGCAGCGGGCCAGUCCGCUCGGCGAUGGAGCCGCAGUGAAAGGGGUCGAUGACGAGAAGCGCCGAAUGACUCCGGAAAAUAGCGACUGUUAGUGUGAAUAUAUUUUUUUCCAGCUGGAAAAGUUCCCGGAAAUGAUGUUUUCAGACCCUUUUUGUGGCGCAAAAUUGCAAAGCUGUUUCCUUUGAAAAUGUCUGCAAAAAAGGGUUUCAAUAUGGCUCCCUGAAAGUCAUGUGACAAAUUAAAGCAUUGUUAUUGGUU